CUAUGCAAGUAUAUCAACACAAAUACACACAGCCCAAGACUGGUUACCCACUGAAGCAAGGUUGAGCCUGGUCAGUACCUGAUGGAGACCUCCUGGGAAAACUAGGUUUCUAGU
rnacentral:rRNA from 1 species